rnacentral:rRNA from 1 species
GGGGUGCAGCAGGCGCGAAACCUCCGCAAUGUGAGAAAUCGCGACGGGGGGAUCCCAAGUGCCAUUCUUAACGGGAUGGCUUUUCAUUAGUGUAAAGAGCUUUUGGAAUAAGAGCUGGGCAAGACCGGUGCCAGCCGCCGCGGUAACACCGGCAGCUCUAGUGGUAACAAUUUUUAUUGGGCCUAAAGCGUCCGUAGCCGGUUUAAUAAGUCUCUGGUGAAAUCCUGUAGCUUAACUGUGGAAUUGCUGGAGAUACUAUUAGACUUGAGACCGGGAGAGGUUAGAGGUACUCCCAGGGUAGAGGUGAAAUUCUGUAAUCCUGGGAGGACCGCCUGUUGCGAAGGCGUCUAACUGGAACGGUUCUGACGGUGAGGGACGAAAGUUAGGGGCGCGAACCGGAUUAGAUACCCGGGUAGUCCUAACUGUAAACGAUGCGGACUUGGUGUUGGGGUGGCUUUGAGCUGCUCCAGUGCCGAAGGGAAGCUGUUAAGUCCGCCGCCUGGGAAGUACGGUCGCAAGACUGAAACUUAA